rnacentral:pre_miRNA from 1 species
AGUGGAAGGGUUGGGUCACAUGGUAAUUCCUUGUGACUUUUUAAGAAGCUGUCAAAUUGUUUCCCAAAGCAGUUGUACCAUUUACAUCCCUUCAGCGCU